AACCUGCAAAAAUUUAGUUAACAGCUAAACGCCCAACACAACUGGCUUCAAUCCA
rnacentral:tRNA from 1 species